UAACACGUGGGAACGUGCCUUUAGGUCGGAAUAACUCAGGGAAACUUGUGCUAAUACCGAAUGUGCCCUUCGGGGGAAAGAUUUAUCGCCUUUAGAGCGGCCCGCGUCUGAUUAGCUAGUUGGUGAGGUAAAGGCUCACCAAGGCGACGAUCAGUAGCUGGUCUGAGAGGAUGAUCAGCCACAUUGGGACUGAGACACGGCCCAAACUCCUACGGGAGGCAGCAGUGGGGAAUCUUGCGCAAUGGGCGAAAGCCUGACGCAGCCAUGCCGCGUGAAUGAUGAAGGUCUUAGGAUUGUAAAAUUCUUUCACCGGGGACGAUAAUGACGGUACCCGGAGAAGAAGCCCCGGCUAACUUCGUGCCAGCAGCCGCGGUAAUACGAAGGGGGCUAGCGUUGCUCGGAAUUACUGGGCGUAAAGGGAGCGUAGGCGGACAUUUAAGUCAGGGGUGAAAUCCCGGGGCUCAACCUCGGAAUUGCCUUUGAUACUGGGUGUCUUGAGU
rnacentral:rRNA from 1 species